rnacentral:rRNA from 1 species
CGCACGAGCGCACCCCUUAUCCUUAGUUGCCAGCACGUAAUGGUGGGAACUCUAAGGAGACUGCCGGUGACAAACCGGAGGAAGGUGGGGACGACGUCAAGUCAUCAUGGCCCUUACGAGAUGGGCUACACACGUGCUACAAUGGCAAGUACAAAGGGUUGCAAACUCGCGAGAGUAAGCGGAUCCCAUAAAGCUUGUCGUAGUCCGGAUUGGAGUCUGCAACUCGACUCCAUGAAGUCGGAAUCGCUAGUAAUCGUGGAUCAGAAUGCCACGGUGAAUACGUUCCCGGGCCUUGUACACACCGCCCGUCACACCAUGGGAGUGGGCUGCAAAAGAAGUGGAUAGCUUAACCUUCGGGAGGGCGUUCACCACUUUGUGGUUCAUGACUGGGGUGAAGUCGUAACAAGGUAGCCGUAGGGGAACCUGCGGCUGGAUCACCUCCUU